ACUCCUACGGGAGGCAGCAGUAGGGAAUAUUGCGCAAUGGACGAAAGUCUGACGCAGCCACGCCGCGUGAGUGAGGAAGGCCUUCGGUUGUAAGACUCUGUCGCCUGGGAAAACGGACUAUUGGGGAAGUUCCAGUAGCGUGAUGGUACCAGGAGAGGAAGCACCGGCAAACUCUGUGCCAGCAGCCGCGGUAAUACAGAGGGUGCAAGCGUUGUUCGGAAUUACUGGGCGUAAAGCGUGCGUAGUCGGUAUUGAGAGUCGCGGGGUGAAAUCCCAGGGCUUAACCCUGGAACUGCCUGCGAGACCUCAGUACUAGAGUGUGAGAGGGGAUAGUGGAAUACCCAGUGUAGCGGUGAAAUGCGUAGAGAUUGGGUGGAACACCGGUGGCGAAGGCGGCUAUCUGGCUCACAACUGACGAUCAGGCACGAAAGCGUGGGGAGCAAACAGGAUUAGAUACCCUGGUAGGAUAGCG
rnacentral:rRNA from 1 species